CCCUGGCAGUCAGAGGCGAUGAAGGGCGUACUAAUCUGCGAUAAGCGCCGGUAAGGUGAUAUGAACCGUUAUAACCGGCGAUACCCGAAUGGGGAAACCCAGUGUGAUUCGUCACACUAUCAUUAACUGAAUCCAUAGGUUAAUGAGGCGAACCGGGGGAACUGAAACAUCUAAGUACCCCGAGGAAAAGAAAUCAACCGAGAUUCCCCCAGUAGCGGCGAGCGAACGGGGAGGAGCCCAGAGCCUGAAUCAGCAUGUGUGUUAGUGGAAGCGUCUGGAAAGGCGCGCGAUACAGGGUGACAGCCCCGUACACAAAAGCGCAUGUGCUGUGAGCUCGAUGAGUAGGGCGGGACACGUGGUAUCCUGUCUGAAUAUGGGGGGACCAUCCUCCAAGGCUAAAUACUCCUGACUGACCGAUAGUGAACCAGUACCGUGAGGGAAAGGCGAAAAGAACCCCGGCGAGGGGAGUGAAAAAGAACCUGAAACCGUGUACGUACAAGCAGUGGGAGCACAGGUUUACCUGUGUGACUGCGUACCUUUUGUAUAAUGGGUCAGCGACUUAUAUUCUGUAGCAAGGUUAACCGAAUAGGGGAGCCGGAGGGAAACCGAGUCUUAAUUGGGCGUUAAGUUGCAGGGUAUAGACCCGAAACCCGGUGAUCUAGCCAUGGGCAGGUUGAAGGUUGGGUAACACUAACUGGAGGACCGAACCGACUAAUGUUGAAAAAUUAGCGGAUGACCUGUGGCUGGGGGUGAAAGGCCAAUCAAACCGGGAGAUAGCUGGUUCUCCCCGAAAGCUAUUUAGGUAGCGCCUCGUGAAUUCAUCUCCGGGGGUAGAGCACUGUUUCGGCUAGGGGGCCAUCCCGGCUUACCAACCCGAUGCAAACUGCGAAUACCGGAGAAUGUUAUCACGGGAGACACACGGCGGGUGCUAACGUCCGUCGUGAAGAGGGAAACAACCCAGACCGCCAGCUAAGGUCCCAAAGUCAUGGUUAAGUGGGAAACGAUGUGGGAAGGCCCAGACAGCCAGGAUGUUGGCUUAGAAGCAGCCAUCAUUUAAAGAAAGCGUAAUAGCUCACUGGUCGAGUCGGCCUGCGCGGAAGAUGUAACGGGGCUAAACCAUGCACCGAAGCUGCGGCAGCGACACUGUGUGUUGUUGGGUAGGGGAGCGUUCUGUAAGCCUGUGAAGGUGUGUCGUGAGGC
rnacentral:rRNA from 1 species